rnacentral:rRNA from 1 species
GCAAGUCGAACGAAGCACCGGGAAAGAGACUCGGUCAAUUGAAGCGGUGACUUAGUGGCGGACGGGUGAGUAAUGCAUGAGCAACCUGCCCUGGAGAGGGGGACAACAGCUGGAAACGGCUGCUAAUACCGCAUAAUACUGACGGGAGGCAUCUUUUGUCAGUCAAAGAUUUAUCGCUCUGGGAUGGGCUCAUGUCUGAUUAGUUAGUUGGCGGGGCAACGGCCCACCAAGACUUCGAUCAGUAGCCGGACUGAGAGGUUGAACGGCCACAUUGGGACUGAGAUACGGCCCAGACUCCUACGGGAGGCAGCAGUGGGGAAUAUUGGGCAAUGGGCGCAAGCCCUGACCCAGCAACGCCGCGUGAAGGAAGAAGGCUUUCGGGUUGUAAACUUCUUUUAUCAGGGACGAAGAAUGUGACGGUACCUGAUGAAUAAGCCACGGCUAACUACGUGCCAGCAGCCGC